CAGAGGCAACAGCAACAGCUUGUGGCCCAGACAGGACAGACAAGAUCUAAUUACUGAUCAGGCUUGGGGGUGGGGGGAGCCCCCUCACCCAAGCCUUUUUUUUUUAAAGAAGAGCCUAUGUUAGGCCACUUAACAAUUUAAGUCCAAUUUAAAUUCUGCUCAUGCCUUCCGAAGAAGAAGCUCCUGACUCAGACUGGCGGAGGAUGAGGGCAGUAGAAAUUAUACUGUUUAGCUGGUACUGCUCCACCUGACAUCUGCGGGAAGCAGCAGCCAAUAAUGAAAGGACCAAGGCAGUGACAUCUCCGGCCCAUCCUCUGUUCACAUAUCAGCCAGCAUGCCAAUGCCUUAAAUCAAGGAACAGUUUUCUAAGAUCUACAGAGAUACUCGCAGCAACACCACAGCAAAGGAGAGUCCAAAAGUGGCAGGUUAGAACCUGGAACCUCAAUCAGUGGCUGAAAUGAGAGACUCCCUCCUGGACACACAGAAGACUGGGCGACUUGGAAAACGCUAAACAGACUGUGUUCUGACACCACGAGAUGCAGAGCUAAUCUUAAGAAAUAAGACUAUAAAGUGGAGUCUAUGAAAUGCGAAUGUGGAGAAGAGCAAACCACAGACCAUCUACUGCAAUGUAGUCUGAGUCUUGCCACAUGCACAAUGGAGGACCUUCUUAUAGUAACACCAGAGGCACUCUGGAUAUAGAUCAGUAAUAGAGCAAAUAUUGUGUUGGCAACUUGGCACAAAUUUCUUGGUUUCACCCUCUGCAUCCUUUUUCAUUGGAAAAGAAUAAUGGAUCAGAUGAUGCUGAAGACCCCCAAUAGGUACAAAUACAUUCCAACUUUUUACAGGUGAAAACUGGGUUACAUAUAACCAAGCAACAGCAAAGUGUGGUUGGCAAAAGUUAUUAAUGAGGAAGAAUACAAGCUAAGAGAGAUUGCAUCAGUCUACGAGGAAGGCAACAUUCAGUCCCUUCCACUCCCUCCAUCUUGAGUUAAUUGGAUGCAAUGGGAUACUGACUAAUUUUGUAUUUUAGCUCAUUUUGAGCAGCUGGAACAAGCUAAGGAUAAAGGGAAGAGGAGAGAAAAGGACAUUUAGAAACCAGCGUAAAAUAUGAGGCGACAGAAAACUAACUGGGAUAUUCUUGCCAAAUCAGGACGGUUAGUCAGCAGAAGAAGAGAAUUAAACCAAUAUACUGAAAAUGCUGUUUAUACACCAAGGACUUUUUCCAGAUUUUUCUCCAUGAGAACCCAAACAAGCAACCUUUUGAAUUACUCCAAAACAACAAAGAUAAGAAGAACAGAACUCCUCCCAAGCAAUUCCAACAGUAUAUUUUGGCUGCUAAAUACUGCCUAUUCCAGCCUGUACAAAUUUCUUGAGGUUUAAGAACCGCGAUAUCAUCAACCACUCCAUUUGUGGUUUUGCAGGUAACUUGGAGCAAUGUGGAUGAACUGGAUUUUUAAAAACUAGCUGAAAGCCUGCAAGCAAGAGGGUCACCUUUAUUUAACCAGUGUAAACAUGAGCUAAGUAUGUAGGUGAAGUUACUCCAGAACGACAUACCAUUACAAACAAGAUUACACAGGGCCACAUUUCUUUCCUCUUCUUAUCCAUCAAGCCAUUAUUUCAUGUAGAAAUAGUUUAAAAACAGAUAUUUUGCAGUAAAAUAUAUUAAUGGUACUUUCAUCCUGUAGGAAAUUUUAUAGAAAACCAUGAUAGUAAGUAUGUGUAUGUUAAGUUUUCACCAGGAGGCAUACAACAUUUCAGCCUGUACAUAUUACUAACUUUGUAAAAUACAUACAGAAUACUGAAUAUUAGUCACUAGACCCCAAUAAUAUUAAUGACCGCAGCUCUGAAAUAAUGCAGAAAAGUUGCUCAUGAGGAAGAAAACUUGGCUUCAACCAUCUACCUUUCCACAAGUUGCUCAGCUCCAAAUAUUUGAAAGUAUGUUUACAUUAAACUCUCUCCACCUAUAGAGUUCUAGCAUGAUAUGAGAAAUACAUUAACCUAAGGCCACCUGAUGUUCUAGUUUUAGGGAAAAAGGGAGGUUGCUUUUUACCUACUUUAUAGGCAGAGUCCAUUGUGUCAUUUCCUCCCACCAAACAUAUAAUUGUAGAAGAUCUAAACACUAAUAUUUCUGGACAAUUAACUUGUCAUCCAAAAAGCUCAGUUACCUGCACAAAAUAGAUAUACACCUCAUUUUUAGCCAUGCCUUUUAUGUAAAGGUAAGAUUUUUGUUCUCUCACGUUUCCAAUCUAAUGAGACCAGAACUGGGCAAAGAGUUGAUAUACAGAAGUUUUCUGAUUGCAACUCCCAACAUUUCUCACUCUUGGCUAUGGUGAUUCAAAGUUAUGGUAAGGCCAUAUAACUAUAUGAAAGGCCACACUUUAACCACCUCUGAACUUUAAAAAAAGAACAAAAUGGAAAGAAACUCAAACAUCAGAAAAUACAAAAAAUCAUAGCCAGUUCAGGUGAUGAUAUCUCAAUUUUUUAUAUUAAGACAGAAAUGUAUCCUUUGUGUGUAUACAUUGCUUGUUGGUUUCCUCUCUACAACACAGACCAACCAAGCAGGAAGUAUCUAAUUAGCCAUGGUUCCUCUUUUUAUCUGUACCUGGAACUAUGCAUGUCAGCUUUGGGAAAAGCAAAGAUAUUAAACCAAAUUCAAACAGUUGUUUGAAAUCCUUGUUUUAUUCCAGUCUGAAUAGUCCUCCAAUUCAUAUAAAAAUAUAAGACAUGUUAAAAACGUCCUGCAUUAUUUUUUACUUCACAGGAGAAUUAGAGGAGCUGCAGAACAGAAUAUUGGUCUCUAUCUCAGCAUAUUAUGCAAGAUAUACUGGUACAAACGCAACCAAAGUAUUUUUGUUCUUAGUGUCUAAAUCAAUAAUUCCCAAUCUUUGAUCCUCCAGAUGAUUUGGAUUUUAAAUCACGGAAGCUUCAGCCAAUUUGGUCAACUGCUAGAAAUUCUAGAAGGUGAGAUCCAAACAUUUAGAGGGCCAUAGGUUAGGAACCACUGUCUAAAUCCAUCCCAUUCUUUAUUUAGCUUGACUUACCGUUGACACCCUUAUUCUGUAUCAUGCCCAAGGAAGUCUCUUUCCUCAGUUUAUAGCCCCUCACCCUAAGAGAGGAUCGCUCUUGUUCCUUAGUUGUAUCUUUUCCUUUUUGAACCCCAUCCCCUCUCCUUCAAUCUUUUGAACAACCACCUUUUGUGCCUCUCUCACAUUCCUUUGCAGAGCAAGAUAUUUAAGUUUUAAUGGUUACAAACCUUGAGAAACUAGCCUGAAACAUUACUCUCAAAUAUCUGAUCUACCAACAAGCCUCCAAGGUAUAAUUACCUGAUGUUUGCUAACUGGUUCAGCCAAUUUCCAUUCUAAAUGAUUUUCCAAGUUCAACCAUGCAGAAAAGGGUUAGAGAUUGUAAACUGGAGGGCAAUUGAGAGGAGGAACAUUAGAAGGGAGAGGAACAUAAACUAGAGAUUUUUUUGUUUCAAGGACAAAUAACUUGCCCCUUUCCAGCAGGGCACUUAGUGCUGUAACAUAAAAAGAAAGCAAAAGAAACUUAUGAAAUGCCACUUGCAAAUGAAGUAGUUGCAAGUCAUGUCAGAUGUUUUAACUGUGAAUAUUAAAUCAAAUUUACCGGUGAAAACCUG